GUGACCAGGAUGGCCGACAUGUUGCACACACCUCAGGGUUCACGCUGGAGAGGAGCGGUUGGAGAAGGGAUCAUAGAAGGCACUCAGGAGGAACGAUGUAGAGACACUGGUGAACCACAGGAGCCUAGGAGAAUGGAUAAAUAAGAGGUUAGUACCAACCAGCAGAGGGCAUACAUGAGCUUUGAACGCGUCUUUGAUACGCUGGUGGAGGUCACAAAGAAGACUUCUUAUAAAAACCAUGGAAGAAAACUAGCCUUCCCUUUUUUUUCAGCGAACUUUUGUUUGAGGAGAAUGCAGCGCUACAACAUGCCCUCUUCAGAAAGUCGCUUUAUGAUUACGAGCGUAGUUUCCAGGCUGCCUCGUGAUGGGAUUGAUGAAGCACGUGGCCUCGGAUGAUUCGCGCCAUAGUCGUUUAGGCUGCUGAACAUCUGCGUUUGAUGCAUCGAUUUGAAGUCACAACGAAUGUGACGAGUUAAUUUGGUGGUAAGUGAAUUAAGCUUGGUCCAUAAACUCGGUCUUGAGUAAAUGUGACUUGGAGCCGCUGAUGACUUCUAAUACUUUUCUGACACCUCGUAUGAACGCUGUAUUACAGCAGCUGAUUAUAACUUCUAGUCUGAGGCUCUUUUAAUUAACUUUAUUGGUCAAAAUUUGUAAACUUUGAAUUGUGGUGUCUUGCAUUUUAAGGUUUGAUGCUCAUUACUAAUGUUCCUUUUGUUUGUCAGCUUUCACUGAUGGUAAGCAUGAAGUUCCCAACUGGCAAUAUGUCUUCGUUAGAGGUGAGACCUACCCACUUUUUUUUUUUUUUCAAUUCAAUAAUCCGGUGUAUGUAUGAUACCCUGGUAGUGACUAUUUUUAGCAGGUGGUUCUGAAUAACAUUUAUAAAGGCAUGUGUAAAGACUGGAGUGAUUGAGAAACCUCUGGACUGGUUGAGGCUGCACGGUCCGCUCAAUGUAUGCUCUUGUGUGGUGUACCUUUUUUAUAUCUUUUG